GCGCACGGGUGCGUAACGCGUAUGCAACCUACCCUUUACUGGAGAAUAGCCCCGAGAAAUCGGGAUUAAUACUCCAUAAUAUCACAUGACCUCCUGGUCGAGUGAUUAAAACUCCGGUGGUAAAGGAUGGGCAUGCGUGACAUUAGUUUGUUGGUGAGGUAACGGCUCACCAAGACUACGAUGUCUAGGGGUUCUGAGAGGAUUAUCCCCCACACUGGUACUGAGACACGGACCAGACUCC
rnacentral:rRNA from 1 species